GGGAGACAGGAUGAAGACCAUUCUUUCUUCCGAGACGAUGGACAUCCCCGAUGGGAUUAGCAUCAAAAUAAAAGCCAAGGUUAUCGAAGUUGAGGGUCCCAGGGGUAAGCUCAUCCGCGACUUCAAGCACCUCAACCUCGACUUCCAUCUCAUUAAGGACGAGGAGACCGGCAAGCGUAAGCUCAGGCUUGAGGCUUGGUUCGGCUCCAGGAAGACUAGCGCCGCCAUCCGCACCGCUCUCAGCCACGUCGAGAACCUCAUCACCGGCGUCACCAAGGGAUACCGUUACAAAAUGAGGUUCGUCUAUGCUCACUUUCCCAUCAACGCCUCCAUCACUAAUGCCAACAAGUC
rnacentral:lncRNA from 1 species